ensembl:rRNA 5S_rRNA 5S ribosomal RNA
AUCUACUGCCACACCACCCUGAACCCGCCCGAUGUUGUCUGAUCUCGGAAGCUAAGCAGGGGCAGGCCUGCUUAGUGCUUGGAUGGGAGACCGCUUGGGAAUACCGGGUGCUGUAGGUU